rnacentral:rRNA from 1 species
UACGUAGGGGGCAAGCGUUGUCCGGAUUCAUUGGGCGUAAAGAGCGUGUAGGCGGCCAGGUAGGUCCGCUGUGAAAACUCGAGGCUCAACCUCGAGAUGUCGGCGGAAACCAUCUGGCUAGAGUCCGGAAGAGGAGAGUGGAAUUCCCGGUGUAGCGGUGAAAUGCGCAGAUAUCGGGAAGAACACCCGUGGCGAAGGCGGCUCUCUGGGACGGUACUGACGCUGAGACGCGAAAGCGUGGGGAGCGAACAGG